GGCCUGGUGGUCUAGUAGUAUGAUUCCUUCUUAGGGUAUGCCGUUUGGAGGAGGUCCCGGGUUCAAUUCCCGGCCAGGCCC
rnacentral:tRNA from 1 species